GUUUUUGGAUAAUUGCGCGACUUCUUGGGUUUACCCUUGUGAGUCGUGAGGAAAGUCCAUGCUCGCGCGGGCUGAGAUUGCCCGCAGUGUUUGUGCUAGGCGAAACAAUAAGCCUGGGUAGGUGUGUCAGACCUAACGGCUGAAUUUUAGCUAAGUUUUCCUAGGAAAAUAUGCGACAAAUUCUGUAAAAGUGCCAUAGAGACGAGUCUUAGAGGAAACUCUAAGAAUGGAACGUGGUAAACCCCUCAAGCGAGCAACCCAAACUUAUGGUCGGGGCACUUGACUAGCCAAAAUGAAGGCGUGGUCGAGGCUGAAAUUAAGAAUUUUGGCAGACAGAUGAUUAUCGAAGGGGAGAUUCACGAAUGUGAAUUGAACUGGAACAAAACAUGGCUUAUAGAA
rnacentral:RNase_P_RNA from 1 species